rnacentral:rRNA from 1 species
CGCAGGCUGCAACCCGCCUGCGUGAAGUUGGAAUCGCUAGUAAUCGCGGAUCAGCAUGCCGCGGUGAAUACGUUCCCGGGCCUUGUACACACCGCCCGUCACACCAUGAGAGUCGGGAACACCCGAAGUCCGUAGCCUGACCGCAAGGGGGGCGCGGCCGAAGGUGGGUUCGAUAAUUGGGGUGAAGUCGUAACAAGGUACC